rnacentral:rRNA from 1 species
CCUACGGGAGGCAGCAGUGGGGAAUAUUUCACAAUGGGGGAAACCCUGAUGCAGCGACGCCGCGUGAGUGAAGCAGUAUUUCUGUAUGUAAAGCUCUAUCAGCAGGAACGAGACGAGUCGGUACCUUACUAAUGAGCCCCGACUAACUACGUGCCAGCAGCCGCGGUAAUACGUAGGGGGCAAGCGUUAUCCGGAAUCACUGGGUGAAAAGUGAUCGUAGACGGGUGAGCAAGCCUGAAGUGAAAGGCGGGGGGCAAACCCGCGUACGGAUUUGGGAACGGUACGGCUGGAGUGCAGAAGAGGUAAGUGGAAUUCAGAGUGUAGCGGUGAAAUGCGUAGAUAUUAGGAGGAACACCAGUGGCGAAGGCGGCUUACUGGACUGUAACUGACGUUGAGGCUCGAAAGCGUGGGAGCAAACAGGAUUAGAUACCCUUGUAGUC